rnacentral:rRNA from 1 species
CCUACGGGCGGCAGCAGUGAGGAAUAUUGGUCAAUGGCCGGGAGUCUGAACCAGCCAUGCCGCGUGCAGGAAGACGGCUCUAUGGAUUGUAAACUUCUUUUGUCCAAGGAUAAACCUUGGUACGUGUCUUCGGCUGCGUGUACCUUACGAAUAAGGAUCGGCUAACUCCGUGCCAGCAGCCGCGGUAAUACGGAGGAUCCAAGCGUUAUCCGGAUUUAUUGGGUUUAAAGGGUGCGUAGGCGGAGUGUUAAGUUAGCGGUGAAAGGUCGGAGCUUAACGCGGGAACGGCGUCUAAUACUGGUGAUCUAGAGUGGAGAUGCGGCAGGCGGAAUGUAUGGUGUAGCGGUGAAAUGCUUAGAUAUCACACAGAACACCGAUUGCGAAGGAAGCUUACCAA